UGCCUACGGGGGGCAGCAGUAGGGAAUAUUGCUCAAUGGGGGAAACCCUGAAGCAGCAACGCCGCGUGGAGGAUGAAGGUUUUCGGAUUGUAAACUCCUUUUGUUAGAGAAGAUAAUGGCGGUAUCUAACGAAUAAGAACCGGCUAACUCCGUGCCAGCAGCAGCGGUAAUACGGAGGGUGCAAGAGUUACUCGGAAUCACUGGGCGUAAAGAGCGCGUAGGGGGGAUAGGAAGU
rnacentral:rRNA from 1 species